AGCGAACGCUGGCGGCAGGCCUAACACAUGCAAGUCGAACGAACCUUUCGGGGUUAGUGGCGGACGGGUGAGUAACACGUGGGAACGUGCCUUUAGGUUCGGAAUAACUCAGGGAAACUUGUGCUAAUACCGAAUGUGCCCUUCGGGGGAAAGAUUUAUCGCCUUUAGAGCGGCCCGCGUCUGAUUAGCUAGUUGGUUGAGGUAAUGGCUCACCAAGGCGACGAUCAGUAGCUGGUCUGAGAGGAUGAUCAGCGACAUUGGGACUGAGACGCGGCCCAAACUCCUACGGGAGGCAGCAGUGGGGAAUCUUGCGCAAUGGGCGAAAGCCUGACGCAGCCAUGCCGCGUGAAUGAUGAAGGUCUUAGGAUUGUAAAAUUCUUUCACCGGGGACGAUAAUGACGGUACCCGGAGAAGAAGCCCCGGCUAACUUCGUG
rnacentral:rRNA from 1 species